rnacentral:sRNA from 1 species
UUGCGGCCAUACAUGUGAUAGUAGGAUUUUGUCAAUUAAUCCCGAAAACACUAUCUUGUCGUUGUAGUAUUUUAGGAUGUCAAUCCAAUCCGGUGUGAUGCAAACAGAUGAGAUAUGAUCAGAAAGCUCUAAGUCAAGCCAAGAAGAUAGUUGGUUGGUUCUAACAGUCCUAGUAUGCAAUAACAGAAAUGAAAUGAAACUAAAAGCAGGAAUGGCAAUAGCAGGCAAGUGAAUGACAAAGCAGAAAUGAUAACAGGCAAUCAAAUGGAUAAACGAUUCCUAAGGAUGGGGUAAUCGAAUAGUGUGGUCUACUUAAUCUAUUCAGGCGGUUGACAAAACUUCACAGAAGCUAUCCCUAGACAACAAGUUCAACAACAGAUUAAUUCACUCCCGUGAUAGAAAUCCUCAAGCAAAGCUAGACACUGACCUAAAUCCCUUUAGCGAUCUCUAACUAAGCAGGCAUUAUCGAAUCAACAUGUUAAAGUCAAUCCCCUCUCUACAGCCAAUCCCUUGGAGUA